ensembl:snRNA LOC120093490 U2 spliceosomal RNA
AUCGCUUCUCGGCCUUUUGGCUAAGAUCAAGUGUAGUUUUUGACUGUAUGGCAACCCAUCCCUCGUCUAUUGGAGGUAGACUCUUCAAGUUCCCUCUCCCCACUCGAGGGCAUUUCAUCUAAGGUCCCUUGGAGGCCCUCUUAUGAGGAACUCAU